UUUCUUGAUUUCUAACAAUUCAAUUGCUGCAACAUAGUUGUUGGUGGUGCAAUGGGAGAAGCCGAGCAGGCUAUUUUUUAUUCAUCUUCUUUAAUUGUCGGACCUAUAUUUUUAGGUUGCAAGUUUAAAUCUCAGACUUAAAUUUCAAAUAGAAUUCAAGAAGUUAGAGAAAAAGGUUAUGGUUAUCUGUAGCAAGUAUCAACUCGGUGAUAUAAGAGGGAAGCUAGGAAUGCUAUACAACCUCGUCGCAAAAAAAUAUUUACGCCUCAAUUCCAAACAAAUUGAAGUCUAAAAUAGAAUCAUCAUUCUAAUUGCAUAAUAUAAUACUCCUUGUGUAAUAUGUCGUAGUAGAGAACAUAUACUUCUUAAAGUGGUAACCAGUAUACAAUAGUUUUAUGAUCAA